rnacentral:rRNA from 1 species
UACGGGGGGAGGCAAGCGUUGUUCGGAUUUACUGGGCGUAAAGGGCGCGUAGGCGGUUUGCUAAGUUGAAUGUGAAAACUCUGGGCUUAACCCAGAGCCUGCAUUCAAUACUGGCAGGCUGGAGUUCUGGAGGGGAUAGCGGAAUUCCUGGUGUAGCGGUGAAAUGCGUAGAUAUCAGGAGGAACACCGGUGGCGAAGGCGGCUAUCUGGACAGAAACUGACGCUGAGGCGCGAAAGCUAGGGGAGCAAACAGG